rnacentral:rRNA from 1 species
GACGAACGCUGGCGGCGUGCUUAACACAUGCAAGUCGAGCGGUAAGGCCCUUCGGGGUACACGAGCGGCGAACGGGUGAGUAACACGUGAGUAAUCUGCCCAUCACUUCGGGAUAACUCCGGGAAACCGGUGCUAAUACCGAAUAUGACAACUUCAGGCAUCUGAUGGUGGUGGAAAGUUCCGGCGGUGAUGGAUGAGCUCGCGGCCUAUCAGCUUGUUGGUGGGGUAGUGGCCUACCAAGGCUUCGACGGGUAGCCGGCCUGAGAGGGUGACCGGCCACACUGGGACUGAGACACGGCCCAGACUCCUACGGGAGGCAGCAGUGGGGAAUAUUGGACAAUGGGCGAAAGCCUGAUCCAGCAACGCCGCGUGAGGGAUGACGGCCUUCGGGUUGUAAACCUCUUUCAGCAGGGACGAAGCGCAAGUGACGGUACCUGCAGAAGAAGCACCGGCCAACUACGUG